UGGGGAAUUUUGCGCAAUGGGCGAAAGCCUGACGCAGCAACGCCGCGUGAGUGAUGAAGGCUUUCGGGUCGUAAAGCUCUGUCUAGAGGGAAGAAGUGUUUUGUGGUUAAUACCCACAUUACUUGACGGUACCUCUGAAGGAAGCACCGGCUAACUCCGUGCCAGCAGCCGCGGUAAUACGGAGGGUGCAAGCGUUGUUCGGAUUUAUUGGGCGUAAAGCGCGUGUAGGCGGUUUUGUAAGUCUGAUGUGAAAGCCCCGGGCUCAACCUGGGAAGUGCAUUGGAAACUGCAGGACUUGAAUACGGGAGAGGGUAGUGGAAUUCCUAGUGUAGGAGUGAAAUCCGUAGAUAUUAGGAGGAACACCGGUGGCGAAGGCGGCUACCUGGACCGAUAUUGACGC
rnacentral:rRNA from 1 species